rnacentral:rRNA from 1 species
AUCCACCCCGGUAUUAACAGGUCGUUCGCGCGAUCAUUCUAGCUUGCUAGACUGAGAUGAGUGGCGGACGGGUGAGUAAAAGAAAGAACCUGCCUUUUGGUGAGGGACAACCAUUGGAAACGAUGGCUAAUACCUCGUAUUGCUGAGAAGUGAAAGAUGAAAGUCGCCAAGAGAUGGGCUUGCGGCUGAUUAGCUAGUUGGUGGGGUAAAAGCUUACCAAGGCGAUGAUCAGUAGCUGGUCUGAGAGGAUGAUCAGCCACACUGGGACUGAGACACGGCCCAGACUCCUACGGGAGGCAGCAGUGAGGAAUUUUCCGCAAUGGGCGAAAGCCUGACGGAGCAAUGCCGCGUGAAGGAUGACGGCCUAUGGGUUGUAAACUUCUUUUCUCAGAGAAGAAUUUUUGACGGUAUCUGAGGAAUAAGCAUCGGCUAACUCUGUGCCAGCAGCCGCGGUAAGACAGAGGAUGCAAGCGUUAUCCGGAAUGAUUGGGCGUAAAGCGUCUGUAGGUGGCUUAAAAAGUCUCCUGUCAAAGAUCAGGGCUUAACCCUGGGCCGGCAGGAGAAACUCUUAGGCUAGAGUUUGGUAGGGGCAGAGGGAAUUCCCGGUGGAGCGGUGAAAUGCGUAGAGAUCGGGAGGAACACCAAAGGCGAAGGCACUCUGCUGGGCCAGAACUGACACUGAGAGACGAAAGCGAGGGGAGCAAAAGGGAUUAGAUACCCCUGUAGUCCUCGCCGUAAACGAUGGAUACUAGAUGUUGGAUAGGUUAAAGCAUUCAGUAUCGUAGCUAACGCGUGAAGUAUCCCGGCCUGGGGAGUAUGCUCGCAAGAGUGAAACUCAAAGGAAUUUGACGGGGGCCCGCACAAGCCGGUGCAGCAUGUUGAUUUAAUUCCGAUGCAACGCGAAGAAUCUUUACCCAGUACUUGACAUGUCUACUCUUGCAUGAACGGGCAAGGUUCCAGGAGGUGGGAAACCAC